GGGGAUAAAGCUCAGUUGGUAGAGUGCUUGCCUAGUAUGCACAAGGCUCUGGGUUCAAUUCCCAGCACCACCA
rfam:Ictidomys tridecemlineatus contig085365, whole genome shotgun sequence.